rnacentral:rRNA from 1 species
UACGUAGGUGGCAAGCGUUGUCCGGAUUUACUGGGCGUAAAGAGCGCGCAGGCGGUCGCUCAAGUCGCGUGUGAAAGCCCCCGGCUCAACUGGGGAGGGUCACGCGAUACUGAUCGACUCGAAGGCAGGAGAGGGUAGUGGAAUUCCCGGUGUAGUGGUGAAAUGCGUAGAUAUCGGGAGGAACACCAGUGGCGAAGGCGACCACCUGGACUGAUACUGACACUGAGGUGCGAAAGCGUGGGGAGCAAACAGG